UACAGAGGUCUCAAGCGUUGUUCGGAUUCAUUGGGCGUAAAGGGUGCGUAGGCGGCGCGGUAAGUCGGGUGUGAAAUCUCGGAGCUUAACUCCGAAACUGCAUUCGAUACUGCCGUGCUUGAGGACUGGAGAGGAGACUGGAAUUUACGGUGUAGCGGUGAAAUGCGUAGAUAUCGUAAGGAAGACCAGUGGCGAAGGCGGGUCUCUGGGCAGUUCCUGACACUGAGGCACGAAGGCCAGGGGAGCAAACGGG
rnacentral:rRNA from 1 species